UCUUAAUCGACAGAUCAGGAAUCACCUCCCCAUUCAGCUAAGCUACAUGUCUUUUGCUUAUAUUUUGUCCUUUCUUGUACUUACAUCUCAUGCUGUGUGGAUUUCCUAUGGCUCAAGUUUGUUGUUGCGCUCAGGUUUCAACAAUUGCUGCACCUGCAAAUUUGGGGUUGAGUGUACAGUUUACUUUCAGUCAAAAGCUAUGCUAUUUUCAGCACAAGAUAUUAUAUGUGGUCUUUGACAGAUUUGAUUGAUUUUGGCUGAUGUACAUGAAUGAUAGUGGACGGACAAGGAUCGAGGAAUGUAGAAGCGGCUUCGUCAGCGUGUGUCGAGAUUCUUAGCGAGCAGUUCCUUGGACAAGGAUUGAAAAUUUUAAGUAUGUACUUAUUCCUGUGUGCAGAUUACCAUGAACAAGACAACUGAAGAUUUUACCUGCUCGACAAAGUCCAAUGAAAGAAGUACAAUGUAUCAUUGAUUAUAGCUAUUUGGAAUGCAAGCUAAGGAUCGUCUCUCGCCACAAGAUAUUAUUUAUGUUCUUUGACAAAUUUGAUUGAUUUUGGGUGAUGUGAAUGGAUGAUAGCAGAUGGACAAGGAUUGAGGGAAUGUAGAAGCGGCUUUGUCAUCGUGUGUCGAGGUUCUUAGCAAGCAGUUCCUCUGAGAUGGUUUCAGCUGAAGGAUUAGUGAGACUGUUUGGGCUGAAUUCUGAUUUUGUAGCACUUAUUCCAUGUGAGGCAGCUUUCCUUCGAUUAUGAAAAUUCCCGGAGAAUGUCCCAUUGUCACUUCAAGGAGUAGCAGCUGAUAUUGGUGCUUCCACCUCCGCGUCAUGCCCGGGCCGAACUGCCACACCCCCUGGUUCUCCACAUUUUCUCUUUGGUGUUUUAUACAUUCAGUUAUAUCCUAUCUUAUCCAGUAUGUCUCAUAUCUUAGUUGAUUUGCAGUUUGUACUCUACUUUACAAACAUUGUAGAAAUAUUCUACUAACAACUUAUUUUCUACUGUUUGGUUGUUUAAACUAAGAAAUUAAAUCUGGACCCGUACAAAUCUUGAGUAAAAUAUAUGCUAAUUAGUUCCUCUUGUUUAAUCUAUUCUAGGAUUGGGCACUACACAUAGAGCUAAAAAGUUACAUUGCCAUUUUGAGUGCAAACAAACAGGUUAGGUGGUGUGUACCUUAUUUCAGGAUCAACAAUCGGUGAAUCGGAUCUAAGGUUUGAUUAGUACUGAGCAUUGUGUAUUCUAGAUGGACUAAUUGAGUGUGCUAAUUGAACCAUAUUCAUGGUGUUAGUCUGAAGUCAGAUUAUGCAAUUCACUCGUAUUAAUGCCAUUACUAUUGGUACAUUAGAUGAAUUGGGAGAGUUAAGUUAUGGGCUUCUUGCCAAUUACAUGCCCACAAAUUAUACGUUGUGACAACUUUUCUCUUUAUGACGAGCAUGUGAUGUCGUAACUUUCCUUUGGAGGACGUGGGGUCAUUUUCUGUCUAUUAAAUAUCUGCUUUGUGCUUUUGGAAGUGUCUAGCAGGGCCACAACUUAUGAAUGUAGUUGCAAUAAUGCACAAGAACUUCUUGUCAUUAGUUAAGAAAAUAAACUAUGGGUCAUUUUAACCACAUCAUUUCACCUUUUCAGUGUCAGCUAAGGUAUUCUGGUUUCUUGAGAUGGUUUGACUAUUUGAGUUUCCAUUGGUUACAGCUCGUGUGAGCAUCCACAGUGAUGGGUUCCUGUGCGGAUUAUCAGAGGCAGCAGCACCGUCGUGGAGUACAUGUACAUCAAUGCCGACGAUGCCGGCAGCAACGACACAAGGUGGGCGAUUUAACCAGCGCAACAUUCUUAUUUGAGGAGCUGUGCGCAGUUCUAAAACAAUUAAGUUGUGCUAGGUGACACGCCUCAUUUCUGUGGUUGAAUAUUUGUGUACCAUUUUCUCCCUUGCUGUGGAAAGCCACCAGCUUCAGGGAGUCCCAGGCUUCCACACAGCCAGAACAGACGCCACCUUUGGCAGGGAGCGUGAGGAAUUGGCUUGUCGAUACGAGUGAUAGCAGCGCCAUCUGCAGAUUCCGCAGAUUCGAGCUGUAGUGGAAGCUGCCAGGCUGCCGAGAUGAAGAUGGAGCCGCUGCGGCGCUGCGCCUCCAAGCUGCUGGGCCGCCAAGAUGCAGUUGGAGCCGCAGUGCCUCCGAGCUGCAGUGGGAGCCACUCCCCCGUCAAGCUACAGCGUGAUCCGCCGCGAAGAUGGAGCCUAGCGUGAGCCGCCUCCACCAGGUGCUUUCUCGAGUACAGUGGGGAGAGGAAGAGGAUGAACUGGUCGAUGGAAUCAAGGCUAACAGUCCACCACGUGGUUAUCUCCGGCGUUAUAUGUCCAGACUCAGAGUGUGGUUCUUUGCCACAAUGGCAUGGUUGUAAAUUUAUCUUUGGUGCUAAUUUGUACUUUAUGUAACUGGUAUAAUCUUUAUUGUUUCAUCAAAUUUAUUCCCACUUAUCUUAAUAUAAGAGCAUCUACAACCACAAGUAUCAAAA